CAGAGGAUGGUCACCCCUGGUGACAUUAUAAAACAGUGUCUGAACUCACCCAGCUGGGGAACAGGCAGAGAAACCCCAUGGCUUCACCAUCCUCAGUGCAAUGCUAUUCAUUAUCACCUGAAAAACUCUAGGAAUCUACAGGAUGGUCCAUGGAUGCCACACUCAGACCUCCUCAGUGGUGACCUUGGUAUAUUGAACCACAAGGCUGAUAGAAGACUGGUUGCGAUGAGGAGAUCAAAAGAGCUUAUAUAUGAGAAAGAAACGAUGCUGCUCACUGUGAAUACAAAACACAGUAGUGACAGCUGCCAGUGAAGUAGCGACACUGAGCCCGGAGUUCUGCUGAGGAUGUCCCAAAGCACCUCCCGAAAGCAGGCAGCAAGACAAGCCACAGCAAUCAAACCAGAUGUUUCCAGUUCUCAGCCAACGUCGCCUGGGGACCCUCCCAUUGAGAAUGUUACCUCCCCAAGAAGGAAGAGGAACUGAUCUUUUAUGAACACUUAUCAACCUAAAGCCAAGGAAGACAGCCCAGCAGCGUGCUGACUUAUGGGUAAAGCCAGCCAAAAGUCAUCCUCCAAUAUAUAUCCAUUUAUCCUUCUUUAGUGGUGGCUUUCAAAAUUGUCCCCUCCCCAUUCCUUUUCCAUCCCCAUGGUGCAUGCCCAUCACCUCACACCUGAACCCCAGUGUCAGGCUCCUGCAUGGUCUUGCUGCCACAUCCCUCCUCAUAGCUAUCUUUCCCCAGAAGGAGUAGCGCUGUGUGCAACCUGGAUGACAGGGCCUCUCAGAGGUGUAGAAAAACAUGGGCAACUUCCAUUUUUUGAGACUUAUAUUAUUAAAAA
rnacentral:lncRNA from 1 species